GAUGAACGCUGGCGGCGUGCCUAAUACAUGCAAGUCGAGCGAACAGACGAGGAGCUUGCUCCUCUGACGUUAGCGGCGGACGGGUGAGUAACACGUGGAUAACCUACCUAUAAGACUGGGAUAACUUCGGGAAACCGGAGCUAAUACCGGAUAAUAUAUUGAACCGCAUGGUUCAAUAGUGAAAGACGGUUUUGCUGUCACUUAUAGAUGGAUCCGCGCCGCAUUAGCUAGUUGGUAAGGUAACGGCUUACCAAGGCAACGAUGCGUAGCCGACCUGAGAGGGUGAUCGGCCCCACUGGAACUGCGACACGGUCCAGACUCCUACGGGAGGCAGCAGUAGGGAAUCUUCCGCAAAGGGCGAAAGCCUGACGGAGCAACGCCGCGUGCGUGAUGAAGGUCUUCGGAUCGUAAAACUCUGUUAUUAGGGAAGAACAAAUGUGUAAGUAACUAUGCACGUCUUGACGGUACCUAAUCAGAAAGCCACGGCUAACUACGUG
rnacentral:rRNA from 1 species